CGGCGGACGGGUGAGUAAUGCCUAGGAAUCUGCCUGGUAGUGGGGGACAACGUUUCGAAAGGAACGCUAAUACCGCAUACGUCCUACGGGAGAAAGCAGGGACCUUCGGGCCUUGCGCUAUCAGAUGAGCCUAGGUCGGAUUAGCUAGUUGGUGGGGUAAUGGCUCACCAAGGCGACGAUCCGUAACUGGUCUGAGAGGAUGAUCAGUCACACUGGAACUGAGACACGGUCCAGACUCCUACGGGAGGCAGCAGGG
rnacentral:rRNA from 1 species